GCGUCAGUGGUGCAACGGUAUAGCACAUGCUACCGGAAAGAGUGAGAUCUGCGUUUGAAUCUCGGCUGACACA